rnacentral:rRNA from 1 species
UCGAGCGGUAGAGAGAAGCUUGCUUCUCUUGAGAGCGGCGGAUGGGUGAGUAAUGCCUAGGAAUCUGCCUGGUAGUGGGGGAUAACGUUCGGAAACGGACGCUAAUACCGCAUACGUCCUACGGGAGAAAGCAGGGGACCUUCGGGCCUUGCGCUAUCAGAUGAGCCUAGGUCGGAUUAGCUAGUUGGUGGGGUAAUGGCUCACCAAGGCGACGAUCCGUAACUGGUCUGAGAGGAUGAUCAGUCACACUGGAACUGAGACACGGUCCAGACUCCUACGGGAGGCAGCAGUGGGGAAUAUUGGACAAUGGGCGAAAGCCUGAUCCAGCCAUGCCGCGUGUGUGAAGAAGGUCUUCGGAUUGUAAAGCACUUUAAGUUGGGAGGAAGGGUUGUAGAUUAAUACUCUGCAAUUUUGACGUUACCGACAGAAUAAGCACCGGCUAACUCUGUG